CUAAGUGAAAAUAAAUGGCGGUCUUGAAAUUUUUAAGCGGCAAAGUUUUCCUUUUGUCAGAAAAAAAAGCUUAACUCAUGAUUAUUCUCUACAUAUUCUUCUUUCCCUUUUUUUAUUCUUCUCUUCCCAUGGAAGGUUUAGCAGCUCUAAACUUUGAUCCCUCUUACUUCUUGACGAACUCUUCUUCGUUGCUCUCAGUCACUGGUCACUCUCUCUUCUUGAUGAACCCUUUUUACGUUGCUCUCCGUCACCAGCCGCUCUCUCCUACAUGAAGCCCUCUCGGCAGUUCUCUUUUCCUAGAAAAGCCAUCUCCGUUGAUUUCUCUCGCCAUUUGAAGCACUAUCUGCCACUCUCUCUCUUGGAGAGGCCUUCUACGCUUCUGUCUCUUACUGGCGAAGCUCUUACAGACGCUUUCUUUAGGAUCUAAGCUUCCUCUCACAUGGUAGUUUUGCCUCAUCUGAAUCGGUCCCAAACACUCUCUACGUUACAACUAUUUUGUCUAGGAGUGACAUUGUCAUCCUAGUCCAUGGUGUUUAUCGCCUCUUCCGAAAGGGUAUGAGAUGCCAGUCGUGGAGAAGAUGAGAUUGAUGCUUUUGUUUCUGAAAAGAGAUGGCACUAGCUUAAAGUUUUUGCUUUGGCUACAAUCUGAGAUUGAGACACUCUAGAAAAGUUCUUAAAGGAAAAGAGAUGACCCAUUGAUAAAAGCAAGACUAGUGUUGGUUGUUAUCAAUCCUUGAUGGUGCAGAUGUUCUCAUGCAUAUCAAAUAUCAAAUGAACCAUCAGUAUUAUAUAUUCACCAUACAUUGUGGUUAUAUGCCUUCUCAAAAAAUUGUUUAUAUGGUCAAAAAAUUAUUGUAUUGUUUUUGAAUAUUUAUGGGGUGGUCCUUUUGAAAUUCCUAAUAGGCAGAGUUCCUAUUGAUGUAAAAUGACCUGAAGCAUUUUAUUGUGCUUAGGCUCACCAUUUGGAACUUGAAUAUUUGUAAUAUUAUUCAAUUAAUUUAUAAAAGUUGCUUUCAUUUUA